UUGCACUCCUGGUUGUUUAACUCAUCUGUAUCCUUUUGCAGGGAUUUGCCAUUGGUUCAGCUGCUCUUGUGUCUCUGGCGCUUUUUGGUGCCUUUGUCAGCAAAGCUGGAGUCAAGGUUGUCGAUGUCCUCUCCCCCAAGGUUUUCAUUGGUUUGAUUGUUGGAGCCAUGCUUCCCUAUUGGUUCUCUGCCAUGACCAUGAAGAGUGUUGGAAGUGCUGCCCUAAAGAUGGUGGAGGAGGUCCGCAGACAGUUCAACACCAUUCCUGGGUUGAUGGAGGGAACUGCCAAGCCUGACUAUGCAACCUAUUGGAAGAUCUCCACUGAUGCUUCCAUCAAGGAGAUGAUUCCUCCUGGUGCUCUGGUCAUGCUCACUCCCCUCAUUGUUGGAACCCUCUUCGGUUUUGAGACUCUCUAUGGUGUUCUUGCUGGUGCCCUGGUUUCUGGAGUGCAACCGUCGUUUUCUCGCGGAUGCGAUUUUUUAUUUCAUUGCAUUGGAUACGACUUGCGUCCGCUUUCUCACCCAAUCAGGCGGCCCUCCGCCUGCGCACGCCUCGUGUUUUCCGUCUCGCCACCGUGAUGUCGCCUCUGCUGCUUCGUCGCGUCGUCGCCUCUCUGCUGCUCCACGGAUCCCUGAAGUGCUGCUGCUCCGGCGCCACGGGCGGCGCCCUCUGGCAGCCGGCUGCCAGGGGCGCGUGGAGGAUGUAGAUUGGUCCUGGUGGCGGCGACAGCGGAGGGCCAGCAACUGCGAGCGGUACCGUGCUCCUGCGGUGGCUUCGUAUGCAGGGACCGGAGGUCUACAGUAGCGCGCAUCUAGCCGGCUCAGCAUCGUGGAUCUAACCAGAGGAGGCCACGGCUGUUGCUCCUCCCUCGGCAAUGGCGAGGGUUCGAGACAGGACGAAGCACUUCAAAGGGGUCGCAAUGCUCUCACAUGGAUACAUCGAGGUGUGUUGCGUCCUCUGCCUCUCCACCCGCAUCCCCUCUUCAGCGUAGUGAUGACGCCUCACUAAUGGUACUUAGUUCGUCACACUCAUUGGCUCAUCGUGUUGGUUUGUGUAUGCCAUUCAAUUAAUGUAGGCUGUGCUUAGCCCAAUUCAUACUAUUAACCUAUGUCCUUUAGUGCUGUGGUCGGCUCACUCGUUUGCUUUUAUUUUGCUUGAUCUAUAUUUUUACCUAUAUAUGACACAUGUUUUCUAAACGUUUGCUCCCACAGAAAAUGGGAACCACUCGAAAACGUCGCUCACUCUGGCUGAGGUAAUGGAAAAUCACUACGCAUCCAAAAUCAGCACUUUCAAUCUUUAGAAAAUAGCACUGGUUAUUGGAGUCAUUUUUUGACCGAUGGAGUUAUCCUUUGAUUCAGUAAGUAUUUUUUCCUAAAAAACAAAUCAACCAUGUGGCACCUGAACCACCAUCAGAGAUUGCAGAGGAGCACGAUGGUUUAGAGAGUGUUUUAGUGCCUAUGCAGGGGAUUGUGGUUAAUGGGAAAAGUACUUCAGAGCUAUUGAGUGGCUCUGUAUCAUUGAGGUCAGCUGAGGUGGGGAUGGCAAGCAUGAUGUGUCUUAGUUUUUUCCUUUUUUGCAAGUUUUUCAGAAAAAUAAUUUCAAUUUUCCUAUACAUUUUUAGGUGGUUGGAACACCUGUUGGACGAAUUGUGAAGUGUGAGGAGUUUCUGAAGGCUGCAGGACCUGUUAUGGUAUGUAAUAUAUGCAUAUUGUUCGAUCUACAUUUUAUAUCUUGUGCAAUGCCGAUGGAUAUUAAAAUGUCGGUUGUAUUUAUAGCCUGUGUUAGGGUAGUGUCAACCCCAAGAAGGAUUCAGUUUUUCUUUCCAUCUUCUGAUCUGGCUUUCCGUAUCAAGCUGACGAUGUGAAAUGCUAACAGUAGAAGCUUGCCUAGCUAUGUCAUGUGGGAAUUAGAUUUAAGUUCUUGAAUGUUACACUAUUUUGUGAAUUUUUUAUGUUGGACAAAUUAUAUAGUGAGGGUGUCAAGAAAAUCAUGCAAAGAAUGGAACUUUACGACUUACCACCCUCUGUCCCAAAUUAUAGCUCAUUCUUAGGAAUAAGAACUUAAAACACAAGCUAACAUAUCUAGAAAUUAGAUCAGGCGAAGAGGUAUAGGGCUGAGUAUUUGAAGCAAAGAGAAGUCCUCGUGGUUCAGCCCAUGCUGAUUACAUAAAGCAUGUAGAUGCCCUCUCAAGAAAACUAGCAAGAUACUAAUAUGGCUCUCAACAAGUGCAUAUUUUGAUUUUCCCCUUGUUCUUGUCCGAUGAGCCGAGUUAUCAUCAUAUGUGUUUUGCCAUUUUGUUGUAAUCCAAGUACUGGAGAAUUUUUGUUAAGUCCAGGAAGGCAACAUUUGCUUUGUCUCAAGCUUAUGAUGCCUUCAGGAUUAAGGAGAAGCCGGUGAAAAAUAUGCCUUUUAGAAAAUUAGCCAUGUUAAUGAAAUUGGCAUUGUUUCUGCUUCAUUUUAUUUUAGUGGAAUAACUAUUUUAUUCAUAUACUGAACCCGAUAUACAAAAUAAUAGUUGGACUCUGAAUUCAGAGUUUGCAUGCUCUAUAUGUAUUCUUUUAGGGCGGGCAACCAUCUUUAGAGUAGCAAUUAGCUGAACCUGCUAAAAAAUCUUUUUGUUAGCCCUGAUUUGGGAGGAUUUCCCCAAACCAGCCAAUAAUAUUAUAUUGCUAAAAUUUAAAUAAAGUGGACAAGGAAAGGCGUCUUGUCAGGCAAAGAGAAGAGCUGAAGAUAGGAUUUACAGUUGCAGUUUAUGUUCCUCAUCUCCUUGCUAGAAAAUAAAGUUGUAUCACUACAUUAAAAAUCUGGUGUCCAUCUAUAUGUAUACGGGGGUGAUGCAUCGUUUAUAUUAAUAUAUGAAAAGUUGGUGUAAUUGAUUAACCAUAGUCAUGCAUGCUAAUUAGCUGUGCAUUUUAUUUCCUUAUAGAGCGGCAUGUUCAAGUUCAGUUGAAUGAAUGGCGCUCUGGUGCACUAAUGAGCGGAUAGCGAGAGAACCUCUAACAUAGUAUGCAAGAUUUUCUUUCCUGAUAGAAUCUUCCAGAGUACAAAGCUAACACAAUACCUUUCUAGGAUAAAUUUGGGAGUAUCAACUCUAAUAUUUUACUUUACCUUGUCUCGAGGUGUGCUCUCCACUCAAACCAUUUCAGUAAUUUGCAUUAGGUUUUCUUGAGAUAUUAAUAAUGUGUAAAGGUAUAGAUGCUACCUUCAGACAUUUAUUCGAAUAAAAUUUUCACUUAACUGGAUAGUGGCUCUGAUUGUCAUUAAGUAUUUUGACUUUUGGCAUGAUCACUGCACUCUUCAGCACUGUGUCCUUGCUUGGAGCCAUCACCUCUCUGUCUCCGGUUUCCUUGGCAUGAUGACUGUUGGUAUUGCUGUAAUCAUUGUCUGCUUGAUCACCCACUCCUUUUUAGCUCUGUUCGUAUCAUUGUCUGCUUGAUCACCACCCUUUUUGCUACUGAUUUCUUUGAAGUCAAGGCUGUGAAAGAAAUUGAGCCUGCACUUAAGAAGCAGCUCAUCAUCUCCACCACCCUGAUGACUGUUGGUAUUGCUGUAAUCAGCUGGUUGGCCCUUCUAGCUAAGUUCACCAUCUUCAACUUUGGUACUCAGAAGGAUGUCUCCAACUGGUAUGUUUUUUUCUGUUAAUCUUUGCCAUUUAUUUGUAGGAUGGAAUGUCUUCUGACAACUGCCAUAUCUUUGCAGGGGCUUGUUCUUCUGUGUUGCAAUUGGUCCAUGGGCUGGUCUGAUUAUUGGUUUUGUCACAGAAUACUACACUAGCAAUGCAUACAAGUUCAAAGCCUACAAGUCUCUUAUGUUUUUUCUUCUCAUCGUUUCUUUGUGAUGGUGUUUUAAUAAUCCUAACAUGUUUAUUCUAUGGUAGUCCUGUGCAAGACGUUGCAGAUUCCUGCAGAACUGGUGCUGUCACUAAUGUCAUUUUGGGUCUUGCUCUUGGAUACAAGUCGGUUAUCAUCCCGAUUUUCGCUAUCGCUGUUAUCAUCUAUGUUAGUUUCUCCAUUGCUGCAAUGUACGACAUCGCAGUUGCCGCUCUUGGUAUGCUGAGCACAAUCGCAACUGGUCUUGCUAUUGAUGCUUAUGCUCCCAUCAGUGACAAUGCUGGUGGUAUUGCUGAGAACUGAUGCUGUUGAUGCUGCUGGCAACACCACUGCCGCUAUUGGAAAGGUAAAAGUACUUUUUAUUCAUUUGCUGGCUCAACUUGUUCAUUUGCCACUACCAUUAUUGACACUGUUUGUACGUUAUGCACUCCUUAAUAUUUUAACAUGCAUAUGGGUGAAGUAGUAGACAAUAUGCAACAAAAGAGCCAUUGCACUCCUGGUUGUUUAACUCAUCUGUAUCCUUUUGCAGGGAUUUGCCAUUGGUUCAGCUGCUCUUGUGUCUCUGGCGCUUUUUGGUGCCUUUGUCAGCAGAGCUGGAGUCAAGGUUGUCGAUGUCCUCUCCCCAAGGUUUUCAUUGGUUUGAUUGUUGGAGCCAUGCUUCCCUAUUGGUUCUCUGCCAUGACCGUGAAGAGUGUUGGAAGUGCUGCCCUAAAGAUGGUGGAGGAGGUCCGCAGACAGUUCAACACCAUUCCUGGGUUGAUGGAGGGAACUGCCAAGCCUGACUAUGCAACCUAUUGGAAGAUCUCCACUGAUGCUUCCAUCAAGGAGAUGAUUCCUCCUGGUGCUCUGGUCAUGCUCACUCCCCUCAUUGUUGGAACCCUCUUCGGUGUUGAGACUCUCUAUGGUGUUCUUGCUGGUGCCCUGGUUUCUGGAGUGCAACCGUCGUUUUCUCUUAACAGAAAAGAACUAUAAAAACGUCGCCGCUGUCAAAACCCAGAAAUUACGAGGCGCGAAAUGGAAAGCUUCCAGCAGAUUAACGAUCGGCUAGAUUUGAUUCAUUCCGCCCGCCCACUACCUCUCACGGUCACGGCCAAUCCGGCCAACCCAGAGAUCACGUGUCAGUGCUAUUUUGUGUACAAGUACUACUUAAUAUAUGUUUGAAAACUUUUUUAAGUGAUUUCCAAACUUGAACGGGAAUCAUUCUUAUUCUUUUAAAUGUCUGAUAGUAGUUAUUGUUUGUGUGACAUUGUACUGUUUUGUUUCUUAAACAAACACCAUUCUACAAAUUUUGCAUCGUCCCUGUAGUGCGCCCGUAAGGGC
rnacentral:lncRNA from 1 species